GUUGGCAUAAAUUCACCACACAUCAAAUGCUCCUGAUCUUUGUCAGAUCUCGGAAGCUAAGUGGGCAUUGAAGCCUGGCUAGUUCUUGGAUGGGGGGGACUGCCUCGGAAUACCAGAUGUUCUAAUC
rnacentral:rRNA from 1 species